rnacentral:lncRNA from 1 species
UUUUUCUUUUUUCUUUUUUUUUUUUGAGAUGGUGUCUUGCUCUGUCGCCCAGGCUGGAGUGAAAUGGCACCGUCUUGGCUCACUGUAACUUCUGCCUCCCGGGUUCAAGUGCUUCUCCUGCCUCAGCCUCCCGAGUAGCUGAGACUACAGGCACGCACCACCACACCCAGCUAAUUUUUGUAUUUUUAGUAGAGACAGGAUUUCGCCAUGUUGACCAGGCUGGUCUCGAACUCCUGACCUCGUGAUCCACCCGCCUCAGCCUACCAAAGUGCUGGGAUCACAGGCGUGAGCCACUGCACCUGGCCCAAUAUUAGGCUUUCUGAAGGACAGAUGGCAUCCUGCUGCUGGAUGCCACAGUUUAUGGGGCUCAUGCCUUUAGAGGAAAGAACAUUGUGCAGUGCAUCCCAUACUAGUUUCCUAGACUGAUUUCAGUGGUAGAUCACUUCGUGAUUGGUUUAUAUUUUAAAGCAAAUUAUUUCCAGAAGCAAAAAGCUGGAGACAUUAGAGGAUAUUAUUUAAAACAAAUGUUAAGACUUUUUUUCCCAUUGAGAAAAAUUAUAACCAUAACCUAGGAGCCAUUAACAAAUAUUUAAAGGUAAACUUCCUUUGUGAUUCAAUUUUUCAAUACUUUUUAAGGCCUGUUUCAAGGAAUUUCUACAUGGUCAAAAUCCUCUUAGAUUCCAACAAACCUCCUUUCUCUAUUGGUUUAACUUCUGUUUAAUAAAUGUUCACUUCUCACUACCUUUAAUCCUGACCUUUUUUGGGGGGUGGGGGGCGGUGUAACUGGGAGAAAGUCGGGUAUGCCAUUUUGCAUAAUUUCUUAGAAUUGUGCAGUCUGUACACACAUAUGCAGCAACUGCUAGGGAAAGCAAGUUUUCCCUCCCUGCGUGAAAGAUGAGUUCACCUUAAUGAAGCACAAAACUGGCAGUUUUGUUUUCUAAUCACUAACACUAGCUUCAGAUAGUAAAUCUUCCUGUGUUCAUUUCGCUAAGUGCUUCAUGGUUGUAUGGCCCUGGAUUGCUCCUGAUAUUUAAAAAAAAUAAAAAACAUCCACAAGUAGAACUCUUCCUCCUAGCUUUCUUGUGUCCAUGGCUAGGCAAUUUCUGCAUAUAGUUGAAAAAACAUGUGCUUUAGAGUUAGAAGCCCUGAUUCCAAGCCUAAUAAUGACACACAUUGUAUAGCCGUGAACAAGACAUUUAGCUCCUCUGUGCCUCAGUCUUUUCAUCUAUAAAAUGGGGAGAACAAUUACUUCCUCAGGGGGCUAUGGUGUGGAAGAGAGGACACACAUAUGGAAAAGUGCUUUGCAAACUACAAAGGGCUAUAGAAAAACUAAAUAAUUUUCAUAUAAUGUAAUAUAAUGUAACCUCUAUUCUUCUGAGCAAUGGCCAAAUAUGCAAAGCACCCUCAGAUUACCAGAAGUAGAUUAUCUGCUUGUACUCCCUCCAGAACAUCAUCUCCAAACCCUGAGAGCAACUUAGGGGUCUCCUAUAA